ensembl:lncRNA
AUUGCCCCCAAAUUUAGGAUUGAAAACAACAGCCCUCAUUUAUUAUCUCUCAUGAUUUUGGUGAGUCAGGAAUUCAGAGGCAGCUCACUUGGGUGGUUCAAAGUCUCUCAUGAUGUUGUAGUCAAUUGUCAGCUGGGGCUGGUGGCCCCACUUCCAAGGGGGUUCACUUACAAGGCUGGCAAGUUGGUGCUGGUUUUUGGCAGGAGGCCUCAGGUAUUCCUCAUGUGGAUCUUUCUACAGAGAGGCUUGAGUGUCCUCACAGAGUGCUGGCCAGCUUCCCCAGAAAGAGUGAUCCAAGAGAUCAAGGCAAGAGCUGUACUGCCUUUUGUGACCUAGCCUCGGAAUUCAUAAGCUGUCACUUCUACCAAAUUCUAUUGGUCACCCAGGACCAGCCCUGAUUUGAUAUGGAGGGAACCAGCAAGGUUGUGAAUACCAGGUGGCGGGGAUCACUGUGGGCUGUCAUGGAGAAUGACUACCACAUGUAGAAAUGAGGACUCAAACGGAGGUCUGUCUGAGGCAAAGCCCUUGGACCUCACCAAGCUGCCUUCCCCAAGCAACCUGUUUAAUUUGGCGGUCCUUCUGAAAGGGAUAUCACCUUCAGCCUGCAACAGCAUGGCGUAGAUAAACUGCUUACAUUAAGAAUGUCCUGAGAGAGGCAGAGAAGCCUGGGUCCUGGGGCACGGAAUAAGGAAGUCUGCAACCUACUGGGUUUAAACAGAGCCUCAAGAAACCAUCAGUCCUUGUCAGUCCCCCAGGAUCUGCAGAACAGCGUCUCGGUUGGAAACAAGGCAGCUUACUUCUGAAUGAUGGCCCAGGCUGCGCUGGCUUUUGCGAAUGUCUCCUCCUCUGGUUGUGCCUGGGGCAGCUCAGGAAGAGUAUGGGGACCAUCCAGGACGUUAGCAGCUCCUACUGUGGCAAGCACCGGUCUCCAUGACUGCAGUUCUCUCCCAGAGGCAGAAAGCAGGGAACUAAGCUUCCAUGUGGACUAAAUUUCAUGGCCACCGCCCAGAAGGGUUGGAAGAGCUGAUGACGUCCCAGGACAGGCUGGAACUUGAGCCCAGCAUUUUACAGAGGGAAACCAGGCCCAGAGAAGGAAUGAUUUUCUUAAUGUCACACUUCCAGAAGUCAGGAAAGCAGAGACCAGCUCAGGACUCAUGAUACCUUUGCCCUAACCUCAAGGCCUUAUCCAGUCUUACCCUUCAUCCCACAAACAACUGGCCAUCAACUGGGCGAUUUUCUUGCCUCUGCUCCCCCAUGGGAAAUGCCAGCCGACUGUAAACGCCCAUGCCCUGAGAGCCUGGCAAGCUGCAUGGCACUUACGUCUGCUGUCUCUGGGAAACAGCACUGACUCCAGAGUUUGCGAGGCGAUCAAGUCGAAGAGCUGAAGAACGGCCUCAAGAUCUUUUUGCCCAGAGCGCCCUCUGGUGGCCAACUGGAUGGCAACCAUUCUCCUUCACUGUGUGAGAUGCUAAGUGGUUGGAGCCAGAGUCUUGUUUUCACUGUUCCUCUUGGGACUUGCUCCUCCCCAGUUAAUGCGCUCUGGUGUCCACUCUGUACAACACAUAUUUACUUCUUACUGCAUCCCUGGAAUAACUGACUCCCGGCCAAUAUUGUUUCUCUGUAUGAGUCACACUGAGACUGGAGCUGAGGGAACUCAAGACAACAAGGCACGGUUCACGCCCCUGAGGAAUGUAAGUUUCAUCGGGCUUGAGACAGGCACGCAAGCAGCUGAGCAGAAUCAGAGCCAGAGGGGCCAAGACUGGACGAAAGCGAGCAAAGGGCUAGGGGACACAGCCAAAACAGGAGCGAGUGGCAGCCACAGAGAUGCAGGAGGCCUUUCUGGGGAAACUGGUGUCUGAGUUCUCAAGGAGAAGCGGGAUUUCUGAAUGGGGGAGGGGCGAGGGCAGGGAGGGACGGGGCGUGGCCAAUCUCUCCCUGUUUCACCUUCUCCUGUGGCCUUUCUCUGUUUCCCUCCCUCCUUACUCACCACGGUCCCAAUACCUCUCCGAAUCACCGCUACCCAAAGUGCCCACUUUCCAGGAGAGAGCCGGACCAGUCCCUGGGCGUCUUCCAACAGACCUCCCCUCUCUCCCCGUGCCACGUCUCCUACGGUUCCUCGGGCGCCCACCCCUCGUGCCCUCCACCCUGCAUUGACCAGCUGGAUUCCUGAAACCUGCAUUGGCCUGUGUACAGUUUGGGCACUGUCUGAAUCAAUAACGGGAAAACGGUUCCUG